GCUACCAUGCAGUCGAGCGGAGUUGACCCGUCUGGUCACUACACGGGUCUAGUUAGCGGCGAACGGGUGAGUAACACGUGGGUAAUCUGCCUCAAAGACCGGGAUAACUCCGCGAAACGGGUGCUAAUACCGGAUACGUUGGCUUCCUCGCAUGGGGAGGCCAAGAAA
rnacentral:rRNA from 1 species